rnacentral:lncRNA from 1 species
GUACUGAAGAGCAACUUCAGCUAUUAAGGUAUCUAUCAGAAGUCUUACUCUCUAAAAAGCCUCUGUUACACCUCAAUGCAACCUCCUGGAAGGCUAGCCUUAAGCCCAGCAGUCCAACCAUGCAUCUAAGCUGAGUUCUCGUCAGAGCCAACUUCAAUUAUAAACAACUGAGAUGAUGCCAGUGGCCAGAAUUCCUGAGAACCCAAUUUGCUGUCAUCACCGCAGCUGAAACAAGGCGCUUGGCAUCUAGAAAAGCUGAUCUGUAGGAAAUUUCCAAUAGAGUUCAAUUUUUUCCAAGUUUAAAGUGUACAAUAUCAUCAAGGUCAGACACUCGAGGUAAAACUAGGCUUGUGUUUAAAUAUAAUAAAAAUAUUUGAAGAAUAGUAAGAGUGGUGACUACUUUCACACAGGAAUGUUUCAAAUAAAUUGCUUUUUUCUUGUGCCUUUUAAAUUUUGUGAUUUGUCAAUGAGAUGCUGACAUAUUUUUAAUGAAGCAUGCCUUGUAAAAUAAUAAGUGAAUGAAAACUACACAGUAAUAUUCACAUCAACAAAGCUAGAAGAAGACUGUAUGUCUCAAGAGGCUCCAUCAUCUACCCAGCGGCCACUUGACCAAAUUAAGAUCCAAAUACCAAAAAGAAAAGUAUUAAAAUUUGUGUUGUAUGCCUUAUAAGACCAAACCUAUAAAAUGAGGGGAAACUUCACAAUUACUUGUAAUUUGCUCUGUGGAAUUGUAACAGAUGGAUUAUAAAGAUGAUU